rnacentral:lncRNA from 1 species
CUCAGCAGUGGCAGGAGCUGCCAGGGACUCCUCGCCUCCUUGCAUGUGUGGGAGGAGGGACAGUGACUCCGGGAUCCCUACAGCUGCCUCAGCCAGUGGGGCCUGUGGAAGUCGGUCCUGCCCCAGUGUCCUGCCGGCUGGAGCUCAGCUACCAUGUGAGGGUCCAGGGGAGGCUGCUGGAGAGAGCGGCCAGGUGGAGGACCGUGAGCUGGACACGUCUCCAAUGUCUCCUGGCCUGAUGAUUGAGCAGGGCAGAGGGCUCAAUGCACAGUCACUCGUGGGUCGGACAGAUCUCAUCAGGCCAGAGGGGCUGGUCAGCGUGAGCUUCCUGCCACCGGGAGCCACCUGGGAAGGACAGGCAGUUCCCACCCCUUCCUCAUGCGCUGUGACUCUUCAGUACCACUCGCAGAACACCUGCUGACACAGGGGACAAGCGGUGAACAGAGUGAGCCCUGCCCUGGUGGAGCGGGCAUUCUGGUAGGAGAAGACCCGGACGGAGCCCACCUCCAGGAGGUGCAAGUCCCCUCAGAAGGACAACACACGCCCAACCUUGUGCAGAGUGAGAGGUGCCACAGGAGGGAUGUGGGGCCAGCAUGCAGCAGAACAGUUCUGUGGCCUUCCUGAGGCUGAUGCUUUGGCUGUUCCCCUCCAGGCCUUCGCUGUCAUGUCACCUCAUCACUGAGGCAGCUUGAAAACUCCCUCGGUGCAGGCUUCCCCUGGGCAAGGGCUGUGUGGUUCCCCUGAGGAGGGGGGCAGGCAGGAGCCGUGCCUGGGUGGGUGGAGCCAGCCAGCUCCACAGGUGGGAAGCACAGAGCUGCCCUGUGUCCAGGGUGGGGUGACCCCAGCGCAGAGAGCCCUGCCCAAGGAGGAAACCCUGGCAGCCAGACCUUGCUGGGGAGGACCCCCAGAAGGCCCUCGUUGCAGGCCGUCAGCUGCCUCUGACCACCCUCUCCUGGUCUCCGUCCCUCCCAGACCUGCACUGUCCUCCUCGCACCAGCCUCUGCCAGCCAGGCAGGAUGGCUUUCAGGGGCCUCCCGGUGCCCAUUGAGUUCUCUUUCAGCCAAACAGUAUUAUAAUCCAUUAUAACAGCUUAAUGUUG